rnacentral:tRNA from 2 species
GCGCCCUUAGCUCAAUUGGAUAGAGCAUCUGACUACGGAUCAGAAGGUUAGGGGUUCGACUCCCUUAGGGCGUGCCA